UUGCACACAAUACCUUGGACACCUCUAUCUCAUUUAUGUGAACAAGGCUUUCGAGGUCUAUAAAAAUAACUAAGUCUUAGCCAGGCUGUUUGCUAACCUUCCCAUCUCGGUCCAGGCAUUGACCCCAUCAUUAAUAGGCGACCAGACAGUAGGUUGCACACCUGAGCAUCAGCAACAGAAUUCUCCCAUGAUCAGUUAUUUGAUGCUACAGCGAUGGCUUCAGUUAUUGCAGCGCCUCCACUGGCAUAACUUGUAUCGUUAUCAUCAGCUCUUUGCCAUUCCGGAAUCAUCCCCCGACUGAGCCGUCAGGCAGUUGGUUUAACACGGCAGAUAACCUUCCAGGACUAAAAAGAUCUCGAAGAAAGUUUCAGAAUACAACUGGCGCUGUGGAUCCUGUUCUAUCGUUGCUACAGCUCACGUUUCAUUUAUGCGAUCCAGGGCUGUGAAGAGCAUUCG
rnacentral:sRNA from 1 species